rnacentral:rRNA from 1 species
UACAGAGGGUGCAAGCGUUAAUCGGAGUUACUGGGCGUAAAGGGCGCGUAGGCGGAUAUAUAAGUGAGGUGUGAAAUCCCUGGGCUUAACCUAGGAACUGCAUUUUAUACUGUAUAUCUGGAGUACUGUAGAGGGUAGUGGAAUUUCCGGUGUAGCGGUGAAAUGCGUAGAGAUCGGAAGGAACACCAGUGGCGAAGGCGGCUACCUGGACAGAUACUGACGCUGAAGCGCGAGAGCGUGGGGAGCAAACAGG